rnacentral:rRNA from 1 species
AGAGCGAACGCUGGCGGCGUACCUAACACAUGCAAGUCGAACGGGGAUCACAGGGUUAGCAAUAACUCUGUGGUUCUAGUGGCGCACGGGUGAGUAACACGUGGGUAACCUGCCCUUGAGACUGGGAUACCCCCUCGAAAGGGGGGCUAAUACCGGAUACGUUCCUCGGAUCGAAAGGUCUGAGGAGGAAAGGUGGCGAAAGCUGCCGCUCUUGGAGGGGCUCGCGGCCUAUCAGCUAGUUGGCGGGGUAACGGCCCACCAAGGCUAUGACGGGUAGCUGGUCUGAGAGGACGACCAGCCACACGGGGACUGAGACACGGCCCCGACUCCUACGGGAGGCAGCAGUGGGGAAUUUCGCAAUGGGCGAAAGCCUGACGGAGUGACGCCGCGUGUGGGACGAAAGGCCUGGGUCGGUAAACCAACUGUCAGUGGGUAAAGAUAGGGUGUCGGCGCGAUAACGCCGGCAUUGACGUACCUGCAGAGGUAAGCCCGGCCUAACUCUGUGCCAGCAGCCGCGGAAU